rnacentral:lncRNA from 1 species
ACUACAACAGAAUUAGGUUAUAGGGACACAUGUUUGGGACACUUUUGAGUAAGUGUCCCAUUUAUGCUAAAACUUAAAAACAUAUCUACUAAUGCCUAAAUAUAAAGCCCAAUCCAACCAAAAAUAAAAGAUUACUCUACUCAUCCCACCACACCCAGUCCAUUUGGCCCGAUUACAAACAGAAAAGAAAAAAAAAAAGAAAAAUCAAUUACCAUCUUUUCUUCUCUCUUCACUCAAUCCACUGAAAUUCUAGACGAAGAGUCUUUACUGUCGUCCUCCUCCGCCACCGCAGCCAACGAGAUAGAGUUUCGGCGGUUGCUAAAUGUUUAAAUAAGUGUUGGUAAAUUAGCAGCACUCUUUUAGGUUAUAGCGACACUCUUUAACUGUCACUAUAUACCUAGCGACCCCACAUAUAGCAACACUUUUUAAAAGUGUCGGUAAUUUUAGCUAGCAGCACUUUUUUGACAUAUACCUAUAUUUAAAAGUGUCGCUAUAGACCGUUUUUGUUGUAGUGACUAUUUCCAGCUUGUCGGCAUAUAAGACACACAUGGUAUUUCCUGAUCAUCCUCUUUUGAACAGAUUGUCCACAGUAGGCAGUUUCUUUUCUAGGGUUAGCCAAAGAAAAAUUUUAACUUUCAUCU